rnacentral:rRNA from 1 species
UGGGGAAUAUUGCACAAUGGGCGCAAGCCUGAUGCAGCCAUGCCGCGUGUGUGAAGAUGGCCUUCGGGUUGUAAAGCACUUUCAGCGGGGAGGAAGGCGAUAAGGUUAAUAACCUUGACGAUUGACGUUACCCGCAGAAGAAGCACCGGCUAACUCCGUGCCAGCAGCCGCGGUAAUACGGAGGGUGCAAGCGUUAAUCGGAAUUACUGGGCGUAAAGCGCACGCAGGCGGUCUGUCAAGUCGGAUGUGAAAUCCCCGGGCUCAACCUGGGAACUGCAUUCGAAACUGGCAGGCUAGAGUCUUGUAGAGGGGGGUAGAAUUCCAGGUGUAGCGGUGAAAUGCGUAGAGAUCUGGAGGAAUACCGGUGGCGAAGGCGGCCCCCUGGACAAAGACUGACGCUCAGGUGCGAAAGCGUGGGGAGCAAACAGG